ACCCCCAAGGACAUCCCAGCAGUGAUAAAAAUUAAGCAAAUAAGCGCAAGCUUGACUUAGUUAUAGCAAAUAGAGUUGGUCAAUCUUGUGCCAGCCACCGCGGUUAUACAAGAAACCCAAACCAACAGAAAGCCGGCGUAAAAUGUGACUAAAACAACUAUCUAAAGAAUUAAGGAAAACCAUGUACCCAACUGUCAUACGUAAAAGUACACAAUAACCCCAAUAUGAAAAUAACCUUAAUAUAAUAGAACUAUUCGAACUCACGAUUGCUAUGAUACAAACUGGGAUUAGAUACCCCACUAUGCUUAGCCAUAAACUCAGAUAUUUUAUACACAAAAAUAUCCGCCAGAGAACUACGAGCAAAAUGCUUAAAACUCUAAAGACUUGGCGGUGCCUCAAACCCCCCUAGAGGAGCCUGUUCUAUAAUCGAUAAUCCACGAUUCACCUCACCAUCUCUUGCCAAUACCGCCUAUAUACCACCGUCACCAGCCUACCCUGUGAAGGAUAUAAAAGUAAGCAAAAUAACUAACAACAGCUAACAAGUCAGGUCAAGGUGUAGCUAACUGAGAUGGAAGAAAUGGGCUACAUUUUCUAAACUAGAAAUUAUAUCACGGAAAGAACUAUGAAACAAGUCCCAUAAGUAGGAUUUAGCAGUAAACAGGGAUCAGAAUGCCCAAUUUAAGCCGGUCCUAAGGCACGCACACA
rnacentral:rRNA from 1 species